rnacentral:rRNA from 1 species
GCAGAACGCGAAGAACCUUACCUGGACUUGACAUCCCCUGAAUAGUGCAGAGAUGCAUGAAGCCCUUCGGGGCAGGGAGACAGGUGGUGCAUGGUUGUCGUCAGCUCGUGUCGUGAGAUGUUAGGUUAAGUCCUGCAACGAGCGCAACCCUUAUCAUUAGUUGCUACCAUUAAGUUGAGCACUCUAGUGAGACUGCCCGGGUCAACCGGGAGGAAGGUGGGGAUGACGUCAAAUCAUCAUGCCCCUUAUGUCCAGGGCUACACACGUGCUACAAUGGUAGGUACAGAGAGAUGCAAGACCGCGAGGUGGAGCUAAACUCAAAAACCUAUCCCAGUUCGGAUUGUAGGCUGCAACUCGCCUACAUGAAGCCGGAGUUGCUAGUAAUCGCGAAUCAGAAUGUCGCGGUGAAUACGUUCCCGGGUCUUGUACACACCG